rnacentral:rRNA from 1 species
GACGAACGCUGGCGGCGUGCUUAACACAUGCAAGUCGAACGGAAAGGCCCUGCUUUUGUGGAGUGCUCGAGUGGCGAACGGGUGAGUAACACGUGAGUAACAUGCCCUUGACUUUGGGAUAACUUCAGGAAACUGGGGCUAAUACCGGAUAGGAGCUCCUGCUGCAUGGUGGGGGUUGGAAAGUUUCGGCGGUUGGGGAUGGACUCGCGGCUUAUCAGCUUGUUGGUGGGGUAGUGGCUUACCAAGGCUUUGACGGGUAGCCGGCCUGAGAGGGUGACCGGCCACAUUGGGACUGAGAUACGGCCCAGACUCCUACGGGAGGCAGCAGUGGGGAAUAUUGCACAAUGGGCGGAAGCCUGAUGCAGCAACGCCGCGUGCGGGAUGACGGCCUUCGGGUUGUAAACCGCUUUCGCCUGUGACGAAGCGUGAGUGACGGUAAUGGGUAAAGAAGCACCGGCUAACUACGUG